GCUCGAGGUGAAGCAUUUGGUAUUUUGGCACGAGUACGAAAUCGCAGGUGACGCUGGUGAGGAUUUCGAUAACUAUAGCGCACGAGUUGACAUAUUCUGGUGAGCCCCGCAUCACUUCGCGUGGGCAACAAGUUAUUUGCUUUCUUUGGUACUUUUCUUUUGAAAACUCUUAGAGUCGCUCCAUAGUCAUUUUUUUGUGUCAUGAGUAUUCCUUUAUUAUUUUAGAACUAUAAUUAGUAUUAGACUUCCUUAUCAUAUUUUGGAGAUGAAUGUAGUAUUACUGUGGUAAAAUUGAUUGAUUAAUAGCGGUGGAUAAAUUUUUUAUUA